rnacentral:rRNA from 1 species
UACGGGGGGGGCAAGCGUUGUUCGGAAUCACUGGGCGUAAAGGGCGCGUAGGUGGCGCGGGCAGUCAACGGUGAAAGUUCGGGGCUCAACCCUGAAUCGGCCGUCGAUACUCCCGUGCUUGAGCACUGUAGAGGCAGAUGGAAUUCCGGGUGUAUCGGUGGAAUGCGUAGAGAUCCGGAAGAACACCGGUGGCGAAGGCGGUCUGCUGGGCAGUAGCUGACACUGAGGCGCGACAGCGUGGGGAGCAAACAGG